rnacentral:rRNA from 1 species
AGUGAACGCUGGCGGUAGGCCUAACACAUGCAAGUCGAACGGCAGCACAGGAGAGCUUGCUCUCUGGGUGGCGAGUGGCGGACGGGUGAGGAAUACAUCGGAAUCUACUCUGUCGUGGGGGAUAACGUAGGGAAACUUACGCUAAUACCGCAUCCGACCUACGGGUGAAAGCAGGGGACCUUCGGGCCUUGCGCGAUUGAAUGAGCCGAUGUCGGAUUAGCUAGUUGGCGGGGUAAAGGCCCACCAAGGCGACGAUCCGUAGCUGGUCUGAGAGGAUGAUCAGCCACACUGGAACUGAGACACGGUCCAGACUCCUACGGGAGGCAGCAGUGGGGAAUAUUGGACAAUGGGCGCAAGCCUGAUCCAGCCAUACCGCGUGGGUGAAGAAGGCCUUCGGGUUGUAAAGCCCUUUUGUUGGGGAAGAAAUCCAGCUGGCUAAUACCCGGUUGGGAUGACGGUACCCAAAGAAUAAGCACCGGCUAACUUCGUGCCAGCCGCCGCGGUAA